rnacentral:rRNA from 1 species
GCUGAACGCUGACAGCCUGCUUAACACAUCAGCCAUUGAUUGGUGGCGGACGAGUGAGUAACGCGUAAAGAACUUGCCUCACCUCUAGGGACAACAUUUGGAAACGAAUGCUAAUACCUACUACUGUGAGAGAGCUUUGCGUCCCAGUAGCUAGUUGUAGCGGUAACGGCUCACCCAGGCGAUGAUGGGUAGCCGGCCUGAGAGGGUGAUCGGCCACAAGGGGACUGAGUCACUGCGCAUACUCCGACGGGAGGCAGCAGUGGAGAAGACUAGGCAAUGUACCAAAGUCUGAUCCAGCAAUUCUGUGUGCACGAUGAAUUUUUCUGAAGGUAAAGAGCUUUGAGUUGGUAAUCGGUACCAACAGAAGAAGUGACGGCUAACUACGUGCCAGCAGCCGCGGUAAUUC